rnacentral:rRNA from 1 species
AGUUAACGUCGGCGGCGUGCCUAACACAUGCAAGUCGAACGCGUCCCCGCAAGGGGAGUGAGUGGCGAACGGGUGGAGUAACACGUGGGUAAUCUUCCUUCAAGUGGGGAAUAAGCUCUCGAAAGGGAGUCUAAUACCGCAUGACGUUCCGGGACAUAAGUCCCGUAAUUAAAGCCGCAAGGCGCUUGAAGAUGAGCCUGCGUCCUAUUAGCUAGUUGGUAGGGUAACGGCCUACCAAGGCUCAGAUGGGUAGCCGGCCUGAGAGGGUGAACGGCCACACUGGAACUGAGACACGGUCCAGACUCCUACGGGAGGCAGCAGUGAGGAAUUUUGCGCAAUGGGGGAAACCCUGACGCAGCCACGCCGCGUGAGUGAUGAAGGCCUUCGGGUCGUAAAACUCUGUCGGGAGGGACGAAGGGGAAACUCUGACGGUACCUCGCAAGAAAGCACCGGCUAACUCUGUGCCAGCAGCCGCGGUAAU